rfam:Nicotiana sylvestris Nsyl_contig48153, whole genome shotgun sequence.
GGAAUUUAGUGAUUACAUAUUGGAACGACAGGGAGAAGAUUAGCAUGGCCCCUGCACAAGGAUGACAAUUGACAUGCACAAAUCGAGAAAUGGUCCAAAUCUUC